UCCAACUCGUGUGCAUGUAUUUUCUUCCAUUAAUAACAUAUAACAUCUUAAUUGAUCUUUUAUUUCCUGAUAUUUUUCGUUUUGAUUUUGCAGUAUCAAGUGAUCAGAAGGCAAACUGAAAACUACAAGAGGAAGGCCUCCCAGUGAGCAGGUGCUAGUAAUCGAUGGCGGCAACGAAAUUGCGAGAGAAGUUACAUGAAACACAAAAGAGGGGAGCUAAAGAUUUUCAAAGUGGAGUAUGUUCUGCAAUGAGAUGUAGAAGGAAGACUUUGAUUUCAAGUUCUAGAUGAACACAAGAAUCUUGGUGGAAGGCUGUGAGCGUCUGUAUGUAGUUGCCCACUACAAGGAGACAAGGCAAAUGAUGUGCCUCUUUAAGACAAAUUCUAGAAAAUAAAGCGAGUAAUUUUUGCUCUUAGGAAAUGAACCAUAAUGUUUCCUCUACUUAAUUAGUUCCAUUAGUUUAUAGGAAAUUUUGAUGGUCAUUAGUUCAUAACAGAUGAUGUAUUUAUAUGGGAAAAUUAAUGAAUGUGC